GUGGAUAAUCUGCCUCUAUGAUGGGGAUAACAGUUGGAAACGACUGCUAAUACCGAAUACGCUCAUAAUGAACUUUAUGAGGAGAGGUGGCCUCUGCUUGCAAGCUAUCGCAUAGAGAUGAGUCCGCGUCCCAUUAGCUAGUUGGUGGGGUAACGGCCUACCAAGGCAACGAUGGGUAGCCGAUCUGAGAGGAUGAUCGGCCACACUGGAACUGAAACACGGUCCAGACUCCUACGGGAGGCAGCAGUGGGGAAUAUUGCGCAAUGGGCGAAAGCCUGACGCAGCGACGCCGCGUGAGGGAUGAAGGUCUUCGGAUCGUAAACCUCUGUCAGAAGGGAAGAAACUAGGGUGCUCUAAUCAUCAUCCUACUGACGGUACCUUCAAAGGAAGCACCGGCUAACUCCGUGCCAGCAGCCGCGGUAAUACGGAGGGUGCAAGCGUUAAUCGGAAUCACUGGGCGUAAAGCGCACGUAGGCUGUUAUGUAAGUCA
rnacentral:rRNA from 1 species